rnacentral:rRNA from 1 species
UACGGAGGGUGCAAGCGUUAAUCGGAAUUACUGGGCGUAAAGCGUGCGUAGGCGGUUCGUUAAGUCUGUUGUGAAAGCCCCGGGCUCAACCUGGGAAUGGCAAUGGAUACUGGCGAGCUAGAGUGUGUCAGAGGAUGGUGGAAUUCCCGGUGUAGCGGUGAAAUGCGUAGAGAUCGGGGAGGAACAUCAGUGGCGAAGGCGGCCAUCUGGGACAACACUGACGCUGAGGCACGAAAGCGUGGGGAGCAAACAGG